rnacentral:lncRNA from 1 species
ACGGACGGGAACCUGGAGAGCAAGGGAGCCUUUUAUUUCACCGAUCUGAGGCCUGGGAUGGAGCUGUGACCCUUUCCUACAUCCCACAAAACCAUUAAGUGCCAGCACAUCUGAGAGAGGGCCUAGAGGAAAGACUUCACCCAUGGGAGAGCGAAGAAUUGCCUCUGUAUUCAACCUAUUAUAACUUCCUGGAACAGAAUGAAACCAUGGGUGGAUUUUCUGAGCACUAUAGAAAAGACUUGGUCACUGCAAAUGGGAAUUUGCUUAGAAUCCUUCAACUGUGAGGCUGCUACACUGAAGCCAUCGCAGGCAGAUGGAUGUUUGUCCUGUUCUUAAGGUCUCCAGGGAAGAACAUUCUCUUCAGCAUCCCUUGGUAACCUUCUCCAGGGUUUUAUCAAAGGUCUGGUAGGGAAGCUCUGAUGUAGACACCAAUAAAAAUAUUAACUUUAUGAACCU